UCAACAGAAUUCACAAGCAACGAAAUAGUUUUUGAAAUACGAAUCCAAAGUAUUUACACAUCAAAAAGUGGUACAUGGACCCCAUCAUAAUAAAAUGUCAAACAGACAAUAUUAGUAUAAGUACAGUCUUCCAAAUUAAAAUAGACACAACCCAAAAAGAAAGACGUCUAGUCCCUAUACGUCAACCUAAUCUGAUCAUUCUACCAAAAAGCUAUACAUCCCGAAUGAUCUUCACGCGCCCCGCAAGAUCCUCCUGACACAGCUCCAGUCAGGUGUGUCCAACUACCUUCCCAUCUAUAGGGUACUAACCGGUAGGAUGGUCCUGGUUCUCAUAUGAGGGCAAAGCCCAGAUUUCCACAAUAGUUGUAAAGGGUCACCAACCGAAAUUAACAAUUAACACAUAACAUUUAAGUUUUUAAAUGCACAAAAUAAUCUUUCAACUUAGCAUGCACCUUAAAAGGGUUUCCAUAUGCCAAACAUUCAUAAACAAGGUUGAAAAAUGAAGUUUUUAACAAAACAACACUGUUGUAUUCGAAUACAACAUCUCUGUAUUCGAAUACAAGGCUGUUUCAGCAUUCAGAAGCAAAAACAACAUGUUUGUAUUCGAAUACAUCAUUAUGCAUUCGACUACAGAGCAAAUCAGUAGCAAAACAUCAUGUCUGUAUUCGAAUAGAACAUUCUGUAUUCGACUACACAGUAAGUCAGUGGCAAAAACAGCAUGUCUGUAUUCGAAUACAGCUUUUUGUAUUCGAAUACACAUCAGAAAACAACAGAAAAACAACAAAAUUCAGCAAAAUUCAGCUUUUUAAAGGGUUUUGAAACCAAUCAACACUUACACAUAAAUCCAACAAUCACACUUAGCAAUUAUAGCGCAAUCACCACGAGAUCUUGAGUUUCGAAAUAGUUUUGCAAUCAAUCACACUUACAAACAAUUCCAAAACAUCCACACUUGGCAAUUAUAACACAAUCACCACGACAACAUAAGUUUCGAAAUGGUUUUGCAAUCAAUCNNNN
rnacentral:lncRNA from 1 species